rnacentral:rRNA from 1 species
CCUACGGGUGGCAGCAGUGGGGAAUAUUGCACAAUGGGGGAAACCCUGAUGCAGCGACGCCGCGUGAGUGAUGACGGACUUCGGGUUGUAAAGCUCUAUCAUCAGGGAAGAUAAUGACGGUACCUGAGUAAGAAGCCACGGCUAACUACGUGCCAGCAGCCGCGGUAAUACGUAGGGGGCGAGCGUUGUCCGGAUUUACUGGGUGUAAAGGGAGCGUAGACGGAAGUGCAAGUCUGGAGUGAAAGGCUGGGGCUCAACCUGAGGACUGCUCUUGAAACUGGAAGGCUAGAGUGCAGGAGAGGUAAGUGGAAUUCCUAGUGUAGCGGUGAAAUGCGUAGAUAUUAGGAGGAACACCAGUGGCGAAGGCGAUUUACUGGACUGUAACUGACGUUGAGGCUCGAAAGCGUGGGGAGCAAACAGGAUUAGAUACCCGAGUAGUC